CAGCAGUCGCCGCGGGAAUACAGAGGGUGCGAGCGUUAAUCGGAUUUACUGGGCGUAAAGCGUGCGUAGGCGGCUUCUUAAGUCGGAUGUGAAAUCCCUGAGCUUAACUUAGGAAUUGCAUUCGAUACUGGGAAGCUAGAGUAUGGGAGAGGAUGGUAGAAUUCCAGGUGUAGCGGUGAAAUGCGUAGAGAUCUGGAGGAAUACCGAUGGCGAAGGCAGCCAUCUGGCCUAAUACUGACGCUGAGGUACGAAAGCAUGGGGAGCAAACAGGAUUAGAUACCCGAGUAGUCCCUGUCUCUUAUAC
rnacentral:rRNA from 1 species